rnacentral:rRNA from 1 species
UACAGAGGGGGCAAGCGUUGUUCGGAAUUACUGGGCGUAAAGGGCGCGUAGGCGGCCUGCUAAGUCGAACGUGAAAUCCCUGGGCUCAACCCAGGAACUGCGUCCGAUACUGGUUGGCUUGAAUCCGGGAGAGGGACGUGGAAUUCCAGGUGUAGCGGUGAAAUGCGCAGAUAUCGGGAGGAACACCGGUGGCGAAGGCGGUUCUCUGGGCCUGUACUGACGCUGAGGAGCGAAAGCGUGGGGAGCGAACAGG